UUUGAUGAAGAUUUUAUUGGACUUAGGUUGUUAACUAUACUUCUUGACUCAUGUGAAAACUUUAAAGUAUCUUUGACCAAUCUGCUCUUAAUGUUGUAACAAUGUAGUAUACAAAGACAGUUGGUUACUGAAAACAGGGGGAGAAGUAAAAGUAAGGGUCAAGAUCAAAAUAGAACUAAAAGCAGGAGUAUAUCAAAAUCAAUGUACAAGAACAUUAAAUGUCAUAACUAUGGUGAAGCAAGGCAUAUCAAGAAAUAUUGUUAUAAGUGGAAGAAAGAGAACAA
rnacentral:lncRNA from 1 species